rnacentral:rRNA from 1 species
AGAGUUUGAUCCUGGCUCAGAACGAACGCUGGCGGCAGGCCUAACACAUGCAAGUCGAGCGCGCCCUUCGGGGUGAGCGGCGGACGGGUUAGUAACGCGUGGGAACGUACCCUUUGGUAGGGAAUAGCCACUGGAAACGGUGAGUAAUACCCUAUGAGCCCUUCGGGGGAAAGAUUUAUCGCCAAAGGAUCGGCCCGCGUUAGAUUAGGUAGUUGGUGGGGUAAUGGCCUACCAAGCCUACGAUCUAUAGCUGGUUUUAGAGGAUGAUCAGCAACACUGGGACUGAGACACGGCCCAGACUCCUACGGGAGGCAGCAGUGGGGAAUCUUGGACAAUGGGGGCAACCCUGAUCCCAGCCAUGCCGCGUGAGUGAAGAAGGCCUUAGGGUCGUAAAGCUCUUUCGCCUGUGAAGAUAAUGACGGUAGCAGGUAAAGAAACCCCGGCUAACUCCGUGCCAGCCGCUGC